rnacentral:rRNA from 1 species
GUGGGGCAGCACAGGUAGCAAUACUGGGUGGCGACCGGCAAACGGGUGCGGAACACGUACGCAAUCUACCUUUGUCAGGGGAAUAGCCCGGAGAAAUCCGGAUUAACACCCCGUAACAUAUUUGGAAGGCAUCUUUUGAAUAUUAAAACUACGGUGGACAAAGAUGAGCGUGCGUCCCAUUAGCUAGUUGGUAGGGUAACGGCCUACCAAGGCGACGAUGGGUAGCUGGUGUGAGAGCACGACCAGCCACACGGGCACUGAGACACGGUCCAGACUCCUACGGGAGGCAGCAGUGGGGAAUCUUGCACAAUGGGCGAAAGCCUGAUGCAGCGACGCCGCGUGGGGGAUGAAG